UACGAAGGACCCAAGCGUUAUCCGGAUUUAUUGGGUUUAAAGGGUGCGUAGGCGGGUUAUUAAGUCAGUGGUGAAAGCCUUCAGCUUAACCGAAGAACUGCCAUUGAUACUGAUGAUCUUGAGUAUGAUUGAGGUGGGCGGAAUGUGUCAUGUAGCGGUGAAAUGCUUAGAUAUGACACAGAACACCGAUUGCGAAGGCAGCUCACUAAGCCAUAACUGACGCUGAUGCACGAAAGCGUGGGGAGCAAACAGG
rnacentral:rRNA from 1 species